rnacentral:rRNA from 1 species
UACGUAGGGUGCGAGCGUUGUCCGGAAUUAUUGGGCGUAAAGAGCUUGUAGGCGGUUUGUCGCGUCUGCCGUGAAAAUUCGAGGCUCAACCUCGAACUUGCGGUGGGUACGGGCAGACUAGAGUGUGGUAGGGGAGACUGGAAUUCCUGGUGUAGCGGUGGAAUGCGCCAGAUAUCAGGAGGAACACCGAUGGCGAAGGCAGGUCUCUGGGCCGCAACUGACGCUGAGGAGCGAAAGCAUGGGGAGCGAACAGG